rnacentral:rRNA from 1 species
GUAGCUGCCUUUACUCAAGGAUGUGCACGCCUUUCAAUCUUCAUCUCAACCCACCUGUGAACCUUUAGUAAACUGUGAUUGGCUUUCACUGAAAAUGUGGAUAGAGAGCUUGCUAACUGCUUGCUUUCAAUCAAUUGCAGUCUACUCAUUUAUACACACUUUAUUUAAACCUUUGAAUGUAUUGUUUUGGUUGUAAUGACCUAUAACAAAUUAAAUACAACUUUCAGCAACGGAUCUCUUGGCUCUCGCAUCGAUGAAGAACGCAGCGAAAUGCGAUAAGUAAUGUGAAUUGCAGAAUUCAGUGAAUCAUCGAAUCUUUGAACGCACCUUGCACCCUUUGGUAUUCCGAAGGGUAUGCCUGUUUGAGUGUCAUUAAAUUCUCAAUCCUUUAAAGCUUUAUUGAUUUAAAGGCAUUGGAUGUGGAGGUUUAUUGCUGGCUUUAUUUUAAGUUGGCUCCUCUUAAAUGCAUUAGUGGCUUCUUUGAAGGAUCCCCAUAUAAUGGUGUGAUAGUAUAUCUACAUCAUAUAAUGGCUAGGUCAUGUAAAAGAUUAAAGAAGUUGCUCUCUAACCGUCCUUCGUUGGACAACCUGAACCAUUUGACCUCAAAUCAGGUAGGACUACCCGC